UCACAAAGGAUAGGACUAGAUAGAAAGUUUGGCUGGGGCGGCACACCUCCGAAAGAGCAGCGAAGGUGUCCUAAGUUGAGCUCAGUGAGGACAGAAAUCUCACGUUGAGGAUAAGGCCAAAAGCUCAAUUUACUGUGCCUUUUGUACUAGGAUCAGUUACGAAAGUAAGGCCUAACGAUCCCUAAAUAGCCUCAGGUGCGUGAGGAUUGGGGUGACAGACAAGUUACCUCCGGGACAACUGGCUUGUGGCUGCUAAGAGAUCAAAUCAACGCAGCUUUUUGAUUCUUCGAUGUCGGCUCUUCCUAUCCUAGUGAUGUACAAGUUGCUAAGGGUCGGAUUGUUCACCCGUAUUAGGGAUCGUGAGCUGGGUUUAGACCGUCGUGAGCCAGGUUUGUUUUAUCCUACUGGAUAUAGCAUCAUGAUAGUAGAUUGAUUUAGUACGAGAGGAACUGUUGAUUAUGGCCUCUGGUUAGCGAUUAUCGGAAACGGUAUGUCGCGCAGCUACGCCGUCUGGGAUAAUGGCUGAAAGCCUCUUAAGCCAGAAGCCCAUCUAGAAAGUGAUGCACGUGAUGUUGGACCGAUACGAAUAAUCAUACUCAAAAGGUCCGCUUCAUAGGUAACCCAAUGUAGAAGACAUUGUGUGAACGAAGGUACUGUAAGCAGUGGAGUGGCAUUACGUCCACGACCUGUUGAGGUUCAGCUUCGCUUCUAGGUUUCC
rnacentral:ncRNA from 1 species